rnacentral:rRNA from 1 species
UACGGAGGGUGCAAGCGUUAUCCGGAUUCACUGGGUUUAAAGGGUGCGUAGGUGGUUUUGUAAGUCAGUGGUGAAAGCCCGGAGCUCAACUCCGGAACUGCCAUUGAUACUGCUUAACUUGAAUCAACUUGAGGUGGAUGGAAUAUUACAUGUAGCGGUGAAAUGCUUAGAUAUGUAAUAGAACCCCGAUUGCGAAGGCAGUUCACUAAGGUUGUAUUGACACUGAGGCACGAAAGCGUGGGGAUCAAACAGG